AUGCAGGUAAAGUUACAAUGUAGCUGUGAAGUGCUGCGCUGUCGUUCCCCCUGCACAAAGCAAAAAAUGUUUCUCAUCUAUCCUUGUUUGCUUUGACCCCACAGCAGACAGGGACGCUUGGUCUCAUACAU